GACGAACGCUGGCGGCGUGCCUAAUACAUGCAAGUCGAGCGAGCGGAACUAACAGAUUUACUUCGGUAAUGACGUUAGGAAAGCGAGCGGCGGAUGGGUGAGUAACACGUGGGGAACCUGCCCCAUAGUCUGGGAUACCACUUGGAAACAGGUGCUAAUACCGGAUAAGAAAGCAGAUCGCAUGAUCAGCUUUUAAAAGGCGGCGUAAGCUGUCGCUAUGGGAUGGCCCCGCGGUGCAUUAGCUAGUUGGUAAGGUAAAGGCUUACCAAGGCGAUGAUGCAUAGCCGAGUGGAUAGACUGAUCGGCCGCAUUGGGACUGAGACACGGCCCAAACUCCUACGGGAGGCAGCAGUAGGGAAUCUGCCACAAUGGACGCAAGUCUGAUGGAGCAACGCCGCGUGAGUGAAGAAGGUGUUCGGAUCGUAAAGCCCGGUUGUUGGUGAAGAAGGAUAGAGGUAGUAACUGGCCUUUAUUUGACGGUAAUCAACCAGAAAGUCACGGCUAACUACGUG
rnacentral:rRNA from 1 species